UGGGAACCUUCCCAGUGGUACGGAAUAGCUCAGGGGAACUUGAGGUAAUACCGUAUACGCCCUUCGGGGAAAGAUUUAUCGCCAUUGGAUGGGCCCGCGUAGGAUUAGCUAGUUGGUGAGGUAACGGCUCACCAAGGCGACGAUCCUUAGCUGGUCUGAGAGGAUGAUCAGCCAC
rnacentral:rRNA from 1 species